AAAAAUUUAGUUAAAAAAAUAACAUUAGUUUGUCAAACUAAAAUUAUUAAUUAUUAAUAAUUUUUA
rnacentral:tRNA from 1 species